rnacentral:ncRNA from 1 species
GCCUAUCUGAAAUGUCGCACGGAUACCAGAAAACUAUAAUAAAUAACACUGGUCGACACGUAUCCUUUUUGUUGUGUAAAAAUGCAAUAAAGCAAGACUGAGUACGGUAGACGCCCUCGUAGGAAACUCGAGCGGCAGGAG